UACAUAGGGAGCGAGCGUUAUCCGGAUUUAUUGGGUGUAAAGGGUGCGUAGACGGGAAUUUAAGUUGGUUGUGAAAUCCCUCGGCUCAACUGAGGAACUGCAACCAAAACUGGAUUUCUUGAGUGCUGGAGAGGAAAGUGGAAUUCCUAGUGUAGCGGUGAAAUGCGUAGAUAUUAGGAGGAACACCAGUGGCGAAGGCGACUUUCUGGACAGUAACUGACGUUGAGGCACGAAAGUGUGGGGAGCAAACAGG
rnacentral:rRNA from 1 species